AGCCACGAGGUGGAAACGAAGCAGAGUGGGUGGCAUGUCAUCUAGAGCAGGACGCUUGCUGACAAAGCCCAUGCAGCAGCUGGAUAUGAAAUAUCUCGUUCAAGGAGCAUUGAUUGGGCGUCUUCUGGAUGCUCAGCCCCUUUCUCAGAGCUUACAGCCUGGCUGGUCCCAAGCACAGUCUUUGGUGGAAGACAGAAGGAAGCUGCUUCCUUUGGGUGUCUCCAUCUCAGCGGUGACCACAGCCACCCAGGAGAGCCAGGUACCUGCUCGAAGAGGGAGACCUAGGCUGAUGAUUUCAGGACCCGGUCAGUGAAGAUGGUUUGUGAUUUUUCACACUGCAGACCCAAGCAGCCUGAAGGCCCUGCAGCCAUCAUUCCCUGCAGUGGGGAGGAGGAGUCAGAAGAAUUUGAAUUCACUGUGGUCCUGCUGGAGUGGAGGGAGAAGUGGCUGGUUUGAGCCCAAAUGGAGAUAAGCCUGUCUUUUCCAUCCUUCUGCUUAGGAGAGAGGCCUGAGUGCCCAGCAAAUGACAAGAUCCAAUAUUCAUUAGUGACUCCUGAAAGCUAUAGAGAGAGGACUCAUGGCUGGUGGGGGGGCGGGUAGGGGGGUGCCACCUCCACCCCCCCAGCCAUUAUUUACAUAAUAACCUGACCCUCAGGUUACCUUUCAUUAACAAACACAUGCGAAAACACAGAAGCAGCUGGCG